AUAUUCGGAGUCAUCUUUGUUGUCCUGAUCACGCGUUUAUGUCUGCGCCUGUCUACUGUUAAACACAGGUACAGGCAUAAACUCGAGAUUAUGACAGCCUCAAACUUCAGCGCCGUUU
rnacentral:precursor_RNA from 16 species